rnacentral:lncRNA from 1 species
UUAACUUUCUUGACAAUUGAACUUCUCACCUGAUUAGUCAACAACUGUAUCAACUCAUUUUGAAUUUUUUUGCCAAGAUACGUAUAUUGAAUCUCUCUUGCUUUAGCUCGCCGAAGGUGCUCUUGCAUUACUGGAUCAAAUUCACUAACCAUUUCGACCAUUUGUAAAAAUAGGCCAUUGUUCUCAACAUGUAGCCUCUCA